rnacentral:rRNA from 1 species
AUUGAACGCUGGCGGCAGGCCUAACACAUGCAAGUCGAGCGGAUGAAGGGAGCUUGCUCCUGGAUUCAGCGGCGGACGGGUGAGUAAUGCCUAGGAAUCUGCCUGGUAGUGGGGGAUAACGUCCGGACACGGGCGCUAAUACCGCACACGUCCUGAGGGAGAAAGUGGGGGAUCUUCGGACCUCACGCUAUCAGAUGAGCCUAGGUGGGAUUAGCUAGUUGGUGGGGUAAAGGCCUACCAAGGCGACGAUCCGUAACUGGUCUGAGAGGAUGAUCAGUCACACUGGAACUGAGACACGGUCCAGACUCCUACGGGAGGCAGCAGUGGGGAAUAUUGGACAAUGGGCGAAAGCCUGAUCCAGCCAUGCCGCGUGUGUGAAGAAGGUCUUCGGAUUGUAAAGCACUUUAAGUUGGGAAGAAGGGCAGUAAGUUAAUACCUUGCUGUUUUGACGUUACCAACAGAAUAAGCACCGGCUAACUUCGUG